rnacentral:tRNA from 1 species
GCAGAAAUAGUUCAGUUGGGAAAGCGUUAGACUGAAGAUCUAAAGGUCCCUGGUUCGAUCCCGGGUUUCGGCA